UACGUAGGGUGCGAGCGUUAAUCGGAAUUACUGGGCGUAAAGCGUGCGCAGGCGGUUUUGUAAGCCAGAUGUGAAAUCCCCGGGCUUAACCUGGGAAUGGCAUUUGGGACUGCAAGGCUCGAGUGCGGCAGAGGAGACUGGAAUUCCUGGUGUAGCAGUGAAAUGCGCAGAUAUCAGGAGGAACACCGGUGGCGAAGGCGGAUCUCUGGGCCUUACCUGACGCUCAGGCGCGAAAGCUAGGGGAGCGAACUGG
rnacentral:rRNA from 1 species